GUGGUUGCGGCUUAGUGGUAGAGCACUUGCCUAGCAUGAGUGAGGCACUGGGUUCCAUCCUCAGCACUACA
rnacentral:tRNA from 1 species